CACUCUUCUCAGACUCAUGAUAACUAUAGGGAUCUUCUACAAGUUUCAACCGAGAAGCCAUUACAGACUCCAGUAAGACACCUUUAAAUGUUGAUGAAGAAGCAGAACAAUACACAGACGACACAUCACAACAUAGCCACAAGCGCAACAUUCCACCAUUCUGUCCAUGACUUUUUCAUGAGAAUCUCGUUCUUGUUCAAACUGCAAACAUUGAGAACAAGACACCAGAACAUAUUCAAAGGCAUUAAAUAAACCUCAAAAGAUGUCUUCCACAACUACGAGCAGUCUGACCAAAUCUCCUUUUUUCAGUACUUUUUCAGGAAACAUUUUGACAAUUAUACUAGAGAUAGUGACAGAUUACAAAUUUGCAUGUCCGUGUGACAUUGAGAUGAAUACAAAACUAACAGGCCUAAUCUUUAGUUCAUUUGCAUUUCAUAUUUUAGCUUUAAUGCUCUGUCUCUAUUUUCGGUAUGUUCAGUCAGAAGAGGAUAAGAAGAAAUCUUUAUUCAAUAUCCUCAACUUUCUGUUUCCACCUAUCCUGUGGAUCAUUUUGUUGCUGUUUGACGGGGAUUACAUAGCCUGUAGUAAAACAGACUGGAAUGGAGAUUAUGUUCUUGAUGACAAACUAAAUAGAAAAUGGUGUAAACCUACCGAAUUGAUCCCUGGAAGAAAUGAGACUGAACUACAAAACCUGACUCUAUCUUUUAUUUAUGAGUCACAGCUUGUUGGCUAUAUUGUGCUUCUGAUCCACAGCAUUUUAGUGGUAUUAGCUUUGUUCAUUUGGGUCUGCAGCAACUUACUGAGAAAAGACAAAACCACAGACUGAUGAAGAA